CUACGGGGGGCUGCAGUGAGGAAUAUUGCACAAUGGGGGGAACCCUGAUGCAGCAACGCCGCGUGGAGGAUGACGCAUUUCGGUGUGUAAACUCCUUUUAUAUGUCAAGAAAAUGACGGUAGCAUAUGAAUAAGCACCGGCUAACUCCGUGCCAGCAGCCGCGGUAAUACGGAGGGUGCAAGCGUUACUCGGAAUCACUGGGCGUAAAGGACGCGUAGGCGGGUUGGAAAGUCAGGUGUGAAAUCCUACAGCUUAACUGUAGAACUGCACUUGAAACUUCUAAGCUAGAGUAUGGGCAGGGGGAGAUGGAAUUAGUGGUGUAGGGGUAAAAUCCGUAGAUAUCACUAGGAAUACCUAAAGCGAAGGCGAUCUCCUGGAACAUUACUGACGCUAAGGCGUGAAAGCGUGGGGAGCAAACAGGAUUAGAUACCCGUGUAGUC
rnacentral:rRNA from 1 species